UAAAUACUCCCUUCUUCUGAAAAUAAUUGUCAUCAAAAUGGAUAAAAAGAGAUGUAUCUAAAACUAAAAUACGUCUAGAUACAUUUCCUUUUAUCCAUUUUGAUGACAAGUAUUUCCGGACGGAGGGAGUAUUUA
rfam:Triticum aestivum genome assembly, contig: Triticum_aestivum_CS42_TGACv1_scaffold_404600_5BL